rnacentral:rRNA from 1 species
AUUGAACGCUGGCGGCAGGCCUAACACAUGCAAGUCGAGCGGCAGCGGGGGGAAGCUUGCUUUCCCGCCGGCGAGCGGCGGACGGGUGAGUAAUGUCUGGGAAACUGCCUGAUGGAGGGGGAUAACUACUGGAAACGGUAGCUAAUACCGCAUAACGUCUUCGGACCAAAGUGGGGGACCUUCGGGCCUCAUGCCAUCAGAGGUGCCCAGAUGGGAUUAGCUAGUAGGUGGGGUAACGGCUCACCUAGGCGACGAUCCCUAGCUGGUCUGAGAGGAUGACCAGCCACACUGGAACUGAGACACGGUCCAGACUCCUACGGGAGGCAGCAGUGGGGAAUAUUGCACAAUGGGCGCAAGCCUGAUGCAGCCAUGCCGCGUGUAUGAAGAAGGCCUUCGGGUUGUAAAGUACUUUCAGCGGGGAGGAAGGUGUUGUGGUUAAUAACCACAGCAAUUGACGUUACCCGCAGAAGAAGCACCGGCUAACUCCGUGCCAGCAGCCGCCGUAAAAC